UUAUUUAUCAAGGAUCGUAUUUAAAAACUGUCAAUUUUUAAUUGCCGAUAACUAGCUAAAUUGAAGGAUCUUGCUUUUUCAGACGAUGCUAUAGAACACUAAUGAGAAGGAGGAGAUUCUAUGUUUAUUGCAAACACGGCGUCUAUUCACGGUGUCAACACGUAUAUUUUCGACCGCGGAAAUGAAUGAGGAAAAUUGUGAAAUUCCAGAAAACAUUGUGAAGAAAGCGCAAAAAGCCAAUGAAAAUGUGUUACCUGGAACAUCAGGAUCCAUAUAUGAAAAAGAAUACAAAAUUUUCCUUAAUUGGAAGAUUAAGAAGUGGCUUACUUCCAAGAAUUGUCAGAAAAAUAUUCACCCAGUUCCUUAUGGUGAAAAUACUCGAUGGUCAAGACAACUUUAAGAGUAAACGACAACAUAGACAUUUCUAAUUAUCAUCGUUUGACAUAUUUCUAUAAAAAAACCCAAAAGGUUAUGUGGCAAAAAAAUCCCGAGUUUUGACUGGCGAACAAGUCAUGCAAUUUCUAAAAGAUGCUUCCGACAACAGAUAUUUACUUCAGAAGGUAGUUGGAGGAUGAGUGAACACAAUUCAAGAUUUUUAUAUAAUACGUUAUUCGGUGAUAGCAGAAUGGAAGCAGUGGCAGAAAUAAUUCCAAUAGAGGCACCUCCGAAAAGUUUAAGUUUACCUGAAUAGUUUGGUAUGAAUAGCAAGUUUGUAAAUUGUAAUUUGUAUCUUCGUUAUUAAAUAAAUUGUCAAAAAAUAAAUAAGUGGUUAAAAAUAAACAAUAUUUUUUUU